GGCCACUUGCCCGGGAGGCCUUUACACAUGCAAGUCGAGCGGUAGCACAGGGGAGCUUGCUCCCUGGGUGACGAGCGGCGGACGGGUGAGUAAUGUCUGGGAAACUGCCUGAUGGAGGGGGAUAACUACUGGAAACGGUAGCUAAUACCGCAUAACGUCGCAAGACCAAAGAGGGGGACCUUCGGGCCUCUUGCCAUCAGAUGUGCCCAGAUGGGAUUAGCUAGUAGGUGGGGUAAUGGCUCACCUAGGCGACGAUCCCUAGCUGGUCUGAGAGGAUGACCAGCCACACUGGAACUGAGACACGGUCCAGACUCCUACGGGAGGCAGCAGUGGGGAAUAUUGCACAAUGGGCGCAAGCCUGAUGCAGCCAUGCCGCGUGUGUGAAGAAGGCCUUCGGGUUGUAAAGCACUUUCAGCGAGGAGGAAGGUGGUGAGCUUAAUACGCUCAUCAAUUGACGUUACUCGCAGAAGAAGCACCGGCUAACUCCGUGCCAGCAGCCGCGGUAAUACGGAGGGUGCAAGCGUUAAUCGGAAUUACUGGGCGUAAAGCGCACGCAGGCGGUUUGUUAAGUCAGAUGUGAAAUCCCCGGGCUCAACCUGGGAACUGCAUUUGAAACUGGCAAGCUAGAGUCUCGUAGAGGGGGGUAGAAUUCCAGGUGUAGCGGUGAAAUGCGUAGAGAUCUGGAGGAAUACCGGUGGCGAAGGCGGCCCCCUGGACGAAGACUGACGCUCAGGUGCGAAAGCGUGGGGAGCAAACAGGAUUAGAUACCCUGGUAGUCCACGCUGUAAACGAUGUCGAUUUGGAGGUUGUGCCCUUGAGGCGUGGCUUCCGGAGCUAACGCGUUAAAUCGACCGCCUGGGGAGUACGGCCGCAAGGUUAAAACUCAAAUGAAUUGACGGGGCCCGCACAAGCGGUGGAGCAUGUGGUUUAAUUCGAUGCAACGCGAAGAACCUUUACCUACUCUUGACAUCCAGAGAACUUUCCAGAGAUGGAUUGGUGCCUUUCGGGAACUCUGAGACAGUGCUGCAUGGCUGUCGUCAGCUCGUGUUGUGAAAUGUUGGGUUUAAGUCCCGCAACGAGCGCACCCCUUAUCUUUGUGGCAGCGUUCGGCGGAACUCAAGAGACUGCAGUGAUAACUGAAGAUGGUGGGAAUGACGUCCAAGUCAUCAUGGCCUUACAGUAGGCUAACCAACGGCCUACCAUGGCCGUUAUUCCAAAG
rnacentral:rRNA from 1 species